rnacentral:rRNA from 1 species
GACGAACGCUGGCGGCGUGCCUAAUACAUGCAAGUAGAACGCUGAAGCUUGGUGCUUGCACCGAGCGGAUGAGUUGCGAACGGGUGAGUAACGCGUAGGUAACCUGCCUGGUAGCGGGGGAUAACUAUUGGAAACGAUAGCUAAUACCGCAUAAGAGUAGAUGUUGCAUGACAUUUGCUUAAAAGGUGCAAUUGCAUCACUACCAGAUGGACCCGCGUUGUAUUAGCUAGUUGGUGAGGUAACGGCUCACCAAGGCAACGAUACAUAGCCGACCUGAGAGGGUGAUCGGCCACACUGGGACUGAGACACGGCCCAGACUCCUACGGGAGGCAGCAGUAGGGAAUCUUCGGCAAUGGACGGAAGUCUGACCGAGCAACGCCGCGUGAGUGAAGAAGGGUUUCGGAUCGUAAAGCUCUGUUGUAAGAGAAGAACGAGUGUGAGAGUGGAAAGUUCACACUGUGACGGUAUCUUACCAGAAAGGGACGGCUAACUACGUG